UAGUCUUGUGGAUAAGACCUCGGAUCGCCAAUCCGGAGACGGCGGGUUCGAUUCCCGU
rnacentral:tRNA from 1 species